GAUGAACGCUGGCGGCGUGCCUAAUACAUGCAAGUCGAGCGAACAGACGAGGAGCUUGCUCCUCUGACGUUAGCGGCGGACGGGUGAGUAACACGUGGAUAACCUACCUAUAAGACUGGGAUAACUUCGGGAAACCGGAGCUAAUACCGGAUAAUAUAUUGAACCGCAUGGUUCAAUAGUGAAAGACGGUUUUGCUGUCACUUAUAGAUGGAUCCGCGCCGCAUUAGCUAGUUGGUGAGGUAACGGCUUACCAAGGCAACGAUGCGUAGCCGACCUGAGAGGGUGAUCGGCCACACUGGAACUGAGACACGGUCCAGACUCCUACGGGAGGCAGCAGUAGGGAAUCUUCCGCAAUGGGCGAAAGCCUGACGGAGCAACGCCGCGUGAGUGAUGAAGGUCUUCGGAUCGUAAAACUCUGUUAUUAGGGAAGAACAAAUGUGUAAGUAACUAUGCACGUCUUGACGGUACCUAAUCAGAAAGCCACGGCUAACUACGU
rnacentral:rRNA from 1 species